AACGAACGCUGGCGGCAGGCCUAACACAUGCAAGUCGAGCGAGGACUUCGGUUCUAGCGGCGGACGGGUGAGUAACGCGUGGGAAUGUGCCCUUCUCUACGGAAUAGCCCUGGGAAACUGGGAGUAAUACCGUAUACGCCCUAUUGGGGAAAGAUUUAUCGGAGAAGGAUCAGCCCGCGUUGGAUUAGGUAGUUGGUGGGGUAAUGGCCUACCAAGCCGACGAUCCAUAGCUGGUUUGAGAGGAUGAUCAGCCACACUGGGACUGAGACACGGCCCAGACUCCUACGGGAGGCAGCAGUGGGGAAUCUUAGACAAUGGGGGCAACCCUGAUCUAGCCAUGCCGCGUGAGUGAUGAAGGCCUUAGGGUUGUAAAGCUCUUUCAGCUGGGAAGAUAAGGACGGUACCAGCAGAAGAAGCCCCGGCUAACUCCGU
rnacentral:rRNA from 1 species